rnacentral:tRNA from 1 species
GGGCGGUUAGCUCAGCGGUAGAGCACCUGCCUUACACGCAGGGGGUCGUAGGUUCGAAUCCUGCACCGCCCA